rnacentral:rRNA from 1 species
GAUGAACGCUGGCGGCGUGCCUAAUACAUGCAAGUCGAGCGAACAGACGAGGAGCUUGCUCCUCUGACGUUAGCGGCGGACGGGUGAGUAACACGAGGAUAACCUACUUAUCAGACUGGGAUAACUUCGGCAAAACGGAGCUAAUAACGGAUAAUAUAUUGAACCGCAUGGUUCAAUAGUGAAAGACGGUUUUGCUGUCACUUAUAGAUGGAUCCGCGCCGCAUUAGCUAGUUGGUAAGGUAACGGCUUACCAAGGCAACGAUGCGUAGCCGACCUGAGAGGGGGGUCGGCCACACUGGAGCUGAGACGCGGUCCAGACGCCUACGAGAGGCAGCAGUAGGGAAUCUUCCGGAAUGGGCGAAAGCCUGACGGAGCAACGCCGCGUGGGUGAUGAAGGUCUUCGGAUCGUAAAACUCUGUUAUUGGGGGAGAACAAAUGUGGAAGUAACUAUGCACGUCUUGACGGUACCUAAUCAGAAAGCCACGGCUAACUACGUG